CUUAUACUCAAUCAUACA
rnacentral:snRNA from 1 species